GUAAAGUUCAAUAGGGAUGGUGAAAAGGGAGAUUUCCUGGCCCAAAUCUACCUCCUAUAAGUCCCAUCCGUCCUUCUCUAUGUCCUUCAUGUCCAGGGAGGUUGAAACAUUGAACUGGUGCCUGCAUGACACCCUUUGCUACUCACCCUCUUUUCCUGGUUUUCUAUAUCCAAAGUCCUAAAGAGACUACAAUUUCUAUGAGUGGGCAGCCACAGCUUCACAGGCCUUAAUGAGCAUCUUUGCCCAUUAAGGUCCCACUACUACCACCACUACUCCCCCACUGUCUCUGAGCCCACCUUGCCAGGAGGAGACACAUGAUGGCUCAGAAGCCAUGGAAAGCUGGUAUUGGUGGCCAGGAGGCUGGUAGGAACCAGGGCAGCCCUAUAGCACGAUGUUCCAGGGCUUCUCAAGAGCUGGGGAGUAUUGAUGAGGCACAGACUGGCCCUCUGGAGUCCACAGGGUGAGGGAGCAAAUACAGUGGCAGGCAUCCAGGAGGCAGAAUUGUAGGGGCGUUGAUGAACUUGGGCACUGUAUUAGUCCAUUUUCAUGCUGCUGAUAAAGACAUAGCUGAGACUGGGCAAUUUAAAAAAGAAACAGGUUUACUGGACUUACAGUUCCACGCGGCUGGGGAGGCCUCACAAUUAUGGCAGAAGGUGGAAGGAGUGUCUCACAUGGCGGCGGCAAGAAGGAGAAUAAGAGCCAAGCAAAACGGGUUUUUCCUUAUGGAGACUUAUUCACUACCACAAGAGCAGUACAGGGGAAACCGUCCCCAUGAUUCAAUUAUCUCCCACUGGGUCCCUCCCACAACAUGUGGGAAUUAUGGAAGUAAAAUUCAAGAUGAGAUUAGGGUGGGGACACAGAGCCAAACCAUAUCUGGCACCAACAAACAGAUGCCAUCCCAUAGCUCUGUGCCAGGAUUAAUUUAGUCCUUACACUGUGGAUGAUCGAGAAAUUUAAAGGAUCCCAAGUGAGAAGACAGAAUAGACAGGGCAAAAAUGGGGUAUUUAAGGGUUCUGAGACAGGGUUUACUUACCAUAUGGAAUGAAAGUAUUCAACUUUCCAACAAUUAGUAUGGCUGUACCAGUACAUAUCUGAUGAAUUUCAGCCUUAUAUAAAUUUCUGUUUUGCAGUCUUCAGUGUCUAGUGGAUACUGAAGAUUGGCUCACUCAACAUGCAUUCUAAUACAUUUCUAGUAUUUGUGUUAUUUUGUAUCACACUAACCUGUAGCUAAAAACUACAUUUCCCAGACUCCUGUGCAGCUAUCUUGCAUUUAGGGUUCCAUAUAUAAUUUUGGCCCUCCAGUCAGCUAAACUUGCACAAGAUUUUGAAUCAGAACUAAAUUCUGCCAGGCACAGUCGCUCACACCUGUAAUCCCAGCACUUUGGGAGGCUAAGGCAGGAAGAUUGCUUGAGCCUAGGAGUUCGAAUCUGCAGUGAUCAUGCCACUGCACUCCAGCCUGAGAAAUAAAACAAGACUCUGCCUCUAAAAAAAUUUUUUUAAAACAAGAACUAAGUUCUGAGGAGAGAGAUACAGUGUGAGACACUGAAGUCCAAGUCCAAGAUAAUCACAAGCACACUUUGUCCUAGAUUUAGUUAAAACUAACAUAAGGGAAUGCAUUAGAAUUAUGAAAAUAAUUCUUUGUGCAAGAAAUUAAGGGUAAGCCAUAUGGGCUUUUUCUUACUAGAUACCAUAGUUCCCCC
ensembl:lncRNA